GUGCUGUGGGAUGGGAUAUUGGCGUUGAGUGGGGUAAGGGUGAUUAGGUUUUAAUGAGAUGGUAAGGGGUGCAUGAUCGGUCGCCAAGGAGGGAGUAGAGGUAUCUUAUACUUGUGGGUUAAGGUGGGGGAAUACAAGAGGAGGACGCAAAGGAGGCUUUGGAUUGGGAAGAAGGGCGGCAAUGAGAUUCAGCUGUAGUCCAGGAAGAGUCAGGGAAGCAGAUAAUUUAGUUAAAGUGUCUCAGCCUAAUAAGGGAACUGGACAGGUGGGGAUAACUAAAAAGGAGUGCUUAAAAGAGUAUUGUCGAAGUUGGCACCAGAGUUGGGGAGUUUUAAGAGGUUUAGAAGCCUGGCUGUCAGUACCCACAACAGUUAUGGAGGCAAAUGAAACAGGCCCUUGAAAAGAAGGGAACUAGCAAGAAUGAAUGGAUGUCCUCGUCACUUCUCCGGGUUUUGGAGUGAAAGAUGGGCAGCAUCGCUCUUUGAAGAUCGCAAAGCUCCUAAUCCAGAUGCUAAUUCCCCUCUCCAUCUGCACGUCCCUUGUGGUUCACAGUGUUCUUAGCUCUACAACCUAAGACAGUGAGGGGUCCUCAGUGACCCUUGAAGAGCUUGACAACACUGGCUUGAAAUUCCCAAAGCCCUCUCCAAGUGUUCUUCAAAUUCUCCAGCAGCUUUUCUUCUCAUGGCUACGCUGGACUGUUUCCAAGCACAUUGCCCCACUAGGCGUAUUCUGGACUCAGACCAGGAACCAAAACUCCUGCUCAGUCUCCAUAAGUAAGACUUAUCUCUGACAGCACCCAAGGCAGCCAGGUGCUGAGUUGAACAACUGAAGUUUGAGAGGAAGAUGGGCUUACCUCUCAGCUACAGCACUUCAGAGGAAGCCUGCUCAGUGCCAUCCCGUCACUUGUGAUUCACCCCUUAUCCAGCCUCCAUCACCCUGCAUCUGUGAGCUCCCCUUUUCCCAUCUCUCCUUCUUUCCUCCACUCAGGUCCAUUUUUUUUGAUUGAUUGAUUUUUUACAAAUAAACUUAAUUUUUUUUUUUUGAGAUGGAGUCUUGCUCUGUCAUCUAGGCUGAAGUGUAGUGGCACAAUCUCAGAUUACUGCAACCUCCACCUCCCAGGUUCAAGUGAUUCUCGUGCCUCAGUCUUUCAAGCAGCUGGGAUCAGAGGUGUGCACCACCGUACCUGGCUAAUUUUUUGUAUUUUUAGUAGAGAUGGAGUUUCACCAUGUUGGCCAGGCUGGUCUUGAACUCCUGACCUCAGGUAAUCUGCCCGCUUCAGCCUCCCAAAGUGCUGGGAUUACAGGCAUGAGCCACCACACUCAGCCAAACAUAAACUUUGUUUUUUAAGGGUGGCUUACACUGCCCAUCACAGCAAAAUUAAGCAGAAAGUAUAGAGAUUUUCCAUGUACCUCAUAUCCCCCCUCCCCUGCCCUACACACAACCUCUCCCAUUAUCAACAUCUCAACCAGAGUGGUCCAUUUGUUACAGUGGAUACACCUACACUGACACAUCAUUAUCACCCAAAAUUCAUAGUGAACCCAGUUUACAUUAGGGUUCACUCUUGUUGCUGUACAUUCAUUAGGUUUGGACAAAUGUAUAAUGACCUGUAUCUACCAUUAUAGAAUCACACAAUCAUUGCACUGCUCUAAAAAUAGUAGUGCUCUGCCUAUUCAUUUCUUCCUCCCCACAACUUUGACAACCCCCUGCUCUUUUGAUCUUCUCCACAGUUUUGCUUUUCCCAGGGUGUUAAAUAGUUAGAAUCUCACAGCAUAUUGCCUUUUCAGAUUGGCUUCUUUCAGUAAAUGCUAUGCAAUGAUGCUUCCUCCAUCUCUUUUUGUGGCUUGAUAGCUCAUUUCUUUUUAUUGCUAGAUAAUAUUUUAUUUAUCUGGGUGGACUGCAGCUUAUCCAUUUGCAUACAGCAGGCCAUCUUGGUUGCUUCUAAGUUUGGCAAUUACAAAUAAAGCUGCUGUAAACA